GUCCACGCCGUAAACGUUGGGAACUAGGUGUGGGCGACAUUCCACGUUGUCCGUGCCGCAGCUAACGCAUUAAGUUCCCCGCCUGGGGAGUACGGCCGCAAGGCUAAAACUCAAAGGAAUUGACGGGGGCCCGCACAAGCGGCGGAGCAUGUGGCUUAAUUCGACGCAACGCGAAGAACCUUACCAAGGCUUGACAUACACCGGAAAGCGCCAGAGAUGGUGCCCCCCUUGUGGUCGGUGUACAGGUGGUGCAUGGCUGUCGU
rnacentral:rRNA from 1 species